CCAAAACAUAAUAGGGAUAGGAGAAAUCCAAGGAUCAUUAUAAACAUUAAUCAAUUCACCUGAUCCAACAAGCCAUUGAAAUUGAAACCUUAUAUAAGUCCCAACCUCUAAAAUUUUUCAUCAAAUAAUAGAAGUUAUUCUUCUACAAUUAUAAUUAUUCCAGGAUCUAUGAAAAUUAUAUUUAGCCCUAACAAGUUGAGCCCAA
rnacentral:lncRNA from 1 species